rnacentral:rRNA from 1 species
UACAGAGGUCCCGAGCGUUGUUCGGAUUCAUUGGGCGUAAAGGGUGCGUAGGUGGCGCCGUAAGUGGGGUGUGAAAUCCCGGGGCUUAACCCCGGGACUGCAUUCCAUACUGCGGUGCUUGAGGACUGGAGAGGAGACUGGAAUUUACGGUGUAGCAGUGAAAUGCGUAGAGAUCGUAAGGAAGACCAGUGGCGAAGGCGGGUCUCUGGAACGCAACUGACGCUGAGACGCGAAAGCGUGGGGAGCAAACAGG